rnacentral:rRNA from 1 species
CCCAGACUCCUACGGGAGGCAGCAGUGGGGAAUAUUGCACAAUGGGGGGAACCCUGAUGCAGCGACGCCGCGUGGGUGAAGGAGUACUUCGGUACGUAAAGCCCUAUCAGCAGGAAAGAAAAUGACGGUACCUGACUAAGAAGCCCCGGCUAACUACGUGCCAGCAGCCGCGGUAAUACGUAGGGGGCAAGCGUUAUCCGGAUUUACUGAGUGUAAAGGGAGCGUAGACGGCAGUGCAAGUCCGGAGUGAAAGCCCGGGGCUCAACCCUGGGACUGCUCUGGAAACUGUAAAGCUGGAGUGCGGGAGGGGCAGGCGGAAUUCCUGGUGUAGCGGUGAAAUGCGUAGAUAUCAGGAGGAACACCGGCGGCGAAGGCGGCCUGCUGGACCGUAACUGACGUUGAGGCUCGAAAGCGUGGGGAGCAAACAGGAUUAGAUACCCUUGUAA